GCCAUGCUUGCCCGGAUGGGCGGAGAUCGAGCAGGAGUGGAUUCUGUGGUGCACCAGGAUGAGGGUGCCCACGAAUCUUACCUUGUCACGGCCGGCUCUCCUCUCUCCCUCCGCGUUAUGCAUUGGUAGCUUUGUUGGAUUGGCAACGCCGGUGAAGUUCGAUAUUGGAGGUAAGCAAAAAUCUCGAGGUAGAUUGAGUCUCUAUAUACUCCCUCCGUCCCAAAAUUCUUCUAGAUGAGUAGUAUCGAUAUACGGUUAGGAUUAGGGGUUGUUUGGAUUGGGUACGGAGUUUUUGCCAAUUCUGUUUCCCGUAAACUCAUUUGAAGGGCUAAUCACCUGAAAUUUGCGGAAUUGAUAACUUCCGAACGCACUGCGCUUUGUGUUUCGAUCCGAACGUGUUCUGUACCGUUAGAUCAAUUGGCGUGGAUCUUGAAGCAUGUGCUUGACACGUCAUGUUUCUCGUUCGUUCGUUCCAGGAACUCCUCGGCCCGAACGAACGCCUUAUCCUCUCCACCGUCACUUUUUCCUUCUGGGCUUCUUUUCCCCAUCCCCAUCGUCUUCACUGAGAGAGAGAGAGAGUCGAGCUGGAGCAGCCGCGCCUUGCCGCCGCUCACCGGUGAGGCCUCGCGGCGCCCCGUCGGUGGCUUAGAUUUCGGGGAGGCGCUCGAGGGGAGCGACGGCGGCGGAGACCUGGGAGGCGGCGGAGGUGCUGCUCGCAGGAAGUGGCGGUGGCGGCGGCUGCCACACCAGCGGAGCUGUCCAAUGCCGCAGCAGGGCCUACCACGGCACCGGCAAGCUGCCUGCACUGCAAGCGGGGAGCGACGCCGGCGGCGACCUGGGAGGCAGCAGAGGUGCUGCUAGCAGGGAGCGGCGGCGGCGGCGACCGAUCCUCCAGUGGAGCUAUUCAACGCCGCAGCGGGGCCCUACAACGGCUUCGGCACGUUGCCUGCGCAGGGGCCUACCACGGCGCCGCGAUUUCCUCUGGCUUGUCGACAAGGUGCGGCUCUUCUUGGCGCGGCCGAGGACGAUGGUCAUGGGCAACGUGCCAGAGACGCCCAUCUACCGGUGGAUGGACCAGUACACGACGUGCU